CGAGUGAAGCGGCAAAAGCUCAAAUUUGAAAUCUGGCUCUUUUAGGGUCCGAGUUGUAAUUUGUAGAAGAUGUUUCGGGUGUGGCUCCGGUUUAAGUUCUUUGGAAUAUUACAUCAUAGAGGGUGAGAAUCCCGUAUGUGACCGGCAGCCUUCGCCUAUGUGAAACUCUUUCGACGAGUCGAGUUGUUUGGGAAUGCAGCUCAAAAUGGGAGGUAUAUUUCUUCUAAAGCUAAAUAUUGGCCAGAGACCGAUAGCGCACAAGUAGAGUGAUCGAAAGAUGAAAAGCACUUUGGAAAGAGAGUUAAACAGUACGUGAAAUUGUUGAAAGGGAAGCGCUUGCAACCAGACUUGCACGCAGUUGAUCAUCCGGUGUUCUCACCGGGGCACUCUGCUGCGUUCAGGCCAGCAUCGGUUUUGGUGGUUGGAUAAAGGCCUUGGGAAUGUGGCUUCCUUCGGGGAGUGUUAUAGCCCUCGGUGCAAUGCAGCCUACCGGGACCGAGGACCGCGCUUCGGCUAGGAUGCUGGCGUAAUGGUUGUAAGCGACCCGUCUUGAAACACGGACCAAGGAGUCUAACAUCUAUGCGAGUGUUUGGGUGUUAAACCCAUACGCGUAAUGAAAGUGAACGGAGGUGAGAACCCUUAAGGGUGCAUCAUCGACCGGUCCUGAUGUCUUCGGAUGGAUCUGAGUAAGAGCAUAGCUGUUGGGACCCGAAAGAUGGUGAACUAUGCGUGAAUAGGGUGAAGCCAGAGGAAACUCUGGUGGAGGCUCGCACCGGUUCUGACGUGCAAAUCGAUCGUCAAAUUUGCGCAUAGGGGCG
rnacentral:rRNA from 1 species